rnacentral:rRNA from 1 species
UUUAAAGAGAGUUUGAUCCUGGCUCAGGACGAACGCUGGCGGCGUGCCUAAUACAUGCAAGUCGAACGAACGGAGGAAGAGCUUGCUCUUCCAAAGUUAGUGGCGGACGGGUGAGUAACACGUGGGCAACCUGCCUGUAAGUUGGGGACAACUCCGGGAAACCGGGGCUAAUACCGAAUGAUAAAGUGUGGCGCAUGCCACGCUUUUGAAAGAUGGUUUCGGCUAUC